ensembl:snRNA U6 U6 spliceosomal RNA
GUGCUCAAUUCGGCAGCACAUAUACUAAAAAUUGGAACCAUACACAGAAGAUUAGUAUGACCUCUGUGCAAGAAGAUAUGCAAGGGGGCUGGAGAGAUGGCUCAGAGGUUA